GGACUGUAGUUCAGGUAGUAAGAGCAUCUGCUUUGCAUGUAGAAGGUCCUAGGUUCCAUCCCUGGCAUGUCCA